rnacentral:rRNA from 1 species
UACGUAGGGUGCGAGCGUUAAUCGGAAUUACUGGGCGUAAAGGGUGCGCAGGCGGUUUUGCAAGCCGGAUGUGAAAUCCCCGGGCUCAACCUGGGAAUGGCAUUUGGGACUGCAAGGCUCGAGUGCGGCAGAGGGGGGUGGAAUUCCGCGUGUAGCAGUGAAAUGCGUAGAGAUGCGGAGGAACACCGAUGGCGAAGGCAGCCCCCUGGGCUAGCACUGACGCUCAGGCACGAAAGCGUGGGGAGCAAACAGG